UGGGGAAUUUUGGACAAUGGGCGCAAGCCUGAUCCAGCCAUGCCGCGUGAGUGAAGAAGGCCUUCGGGUUGUAAAGCUCUUUCGCAAGGAAAGAAAACUUACUCGUUAAUACCGGGUGAGGAUGACGGUACCUUGAUAAGAAGCACCGGCUAACUACGUGCCAGCAGCCGCGGUAAUACGUAGGGUGCGAGCGUUAAUCGGAAUUACUGGGCGUAAAGCGAGCGCAGGCGGUUUUGUAAGUCAGAUGUGAAAGCCCCGGGCUCAACCUGGGAACUGCGUUUGAAACUGCAAGGCUAGAGUAUGGGAGAGGGGGGUAGAAUUCCACGUGUAGCAGUGAAAUGCGUAGAGAUGUGGAGGAAUACCAAUGGCGAAGGCAGCCCCCUGGCCUAAUACUGACGCUCAUGCUCGAAAGCGUGGGGAGCAAACAGG
rnacentral:rRNA from 1 species